UAGUGUCGUAGCAUGAGGCCGAACUAUCUGGGUAACAGUUUGAUUGAGUAGAUUGAUUAAGUAGAUUUAAUUAAAUGCUUGCUCGUUUAAUUAAUCUUGUUGAUUGAGGUUAGUCAUCUCUUGGUAAGGGAGUGACUAAAUGGUUGAGUUGUUUUGUGAUAAUGUUGUUGUUUAGGGAUCUUGGCCAUAUAGGCCGAUCUCCUGGUUGUGAUGUUG
rnacentral:lncRNA from 1 species